UCUUGUUUAAAAUAACUAAUCAUGUUUUAUUCCUCAGGAAAAAAUAAUGAUUGCAGGAGGUUUGUGGCAUAAGGUUCUAAUCCAUCCUGAAUGGAGCAAGUCCCUAGCUUAAACUCUUAACUUGUUUACAAUUUUAGUUUUUUUUCUUCCCAUUCAUAUCCAACACUUUCUAAUUUUUUAGAAAACAUGCAGUCUGUAAUCUACCCCAUGUCAGUGUAGAGAGGCCUGUUCAUGAAGACACAAAAUCCUUCAACGACACCAAAACAUAUUACACAGUUUAGAUGGACGGAUAGAAAGCGUGAACAUCAAAAGCCAUCGUGUGUGUUACCCAGUUUCCAUUCUGCAUCUAACAAUAGGAACCAAGCAUCCAACAUCAUGACUUUAUUAUUAUAUAGUCCAGACAAUGAAUGCUCAAGAGAGGGUAUAGAGAGAAAAGUUUGGAAGACUAUAUUUGACCCCGCAAUUUUGUUUUGGGUAUUAAGGAUGUAAAAAUAUCCCCACCCCUACCCCAUGUGCUAAGGGGGUGGGGUGGUUCAAAGGUACCAGUUUUUGGUUUCUCGUAUAUAACUCGAAAACUAUGUAUCUUACGGAUAUAACUGUUACAUACAAAAGUAAAGCUUAUAUAUUUCCUACAAUAUUCAUCUCACAACUUUUCUAGUUUUCGAGAUAUCCGCUCUUACAUGUGUGACAUUUUUGAAAAAAACACGUUCGCCUCCAAUUUUUUUCUAUUUCUACUCUUAUAACUUUU